rnacentral:rRNA from 1 species
UACGUAGGCAGCGAGCGUUUGUUCGGAAUUACUGGGCGUAAAGAGUGUGUAGGCGGUGCUCUAAGUUCGGUGUGAAAUCUCCUGGCUCAACUGGGAGGGUGCGCCGGAAACUGGAGUGCUUGAGCGUGGGAGAGGAAAGCGGAAUUCCUGGUGUAGCGGUGAAAUGCGUAGAUAUCAGGAGGAAGCCACUGUGGUGUAGACGGCUUUCUGGACCAUAGCUGACGCUGAGACACGAAAGCGUGGGUAGCAAACAGG